UACAGAGGGUGCAAGCGUUAAUCGGAAUUACUGGGCGUAAAGCGUGCGUAGACGGUUUCGUAAGUCGGGUGUGAAAGCCCCGGGCUCAACCUGGGAAUUGCAUUCGAGACUGCAAAGCUAGGGUGCGGAAGAGGGAAGCGGAAUUUCUGGUGUAGCGGUGAAAUGCGUAGAUAUCAGAAGGAACAUCAGUGGCGAAAGCGGCUUCCUGGUCCAGCGCCGACGUUCAAGCACGAAAGCGUGGGGAGCAAACAGG
rnacentral:rRNA from 1 species